GUGGAAGGCUGAGGCAGAGAGACACUGCCAGCUGCCACCAUGAAAAGUGAGAUGUAAGUUCAUGAUAGUUUCACUGUGAACCUCAUCAGACUGAUCAUGGCCACAGUCCAGCAGAGAAACAACUAUGGUCCCAGAAUAACCACCCACAGGGAAUGCAGUGGAGAUGACUUUGGAGGAGAAGUAAAGAAAUGAACAGGGGAGUAAAUGUUCUUUAAUUGCCUCCUUGUCAGAAUUCUUAAUCCAGUGGCAUUUGGGGAUAUGAUACAUUUCCCUCUGCACUGAAAAUGCUCUGGCAGCCUGCAUGUCAUUAGAAUGGGAACACUAGGCCAUACUCUGUGACACUUCCAUCAUUCUGUGCAAGGAGACCCUGUAUCCACUGCAUUGAAAAUAAUUGGAAUACAGAGCUACCCCAAAUUGUGUUUGUUCCUAAAAUUAAACCAAUUAAACAGAGGUGAUAUUACAAAAAACCUUCCAUAUCAGUAGCCAUUAAUAUAUUCUUAUUGGAUCUAAGACCUGUGCUAGCAUUCAAUAUCUAGUAAGCGGUUUUAAUUGUUUGUCAGCAAAUAUAAACGUUCUAAAAGUUUUAAGAAAUUCUAAAAAAAAUCAGCAAUCAUAUGGUAACUGAUUAGUUAUAAGAUUCAUGACAGCCAAAUGACAGAAUAGAAAGUUAUUCCAUUUUUAAAUUUAAACUUCAGAUCCAAAUUUUAAAAUUAUUUUUAUUGGUAAAUACACAAAUAUCCCACCUAGGCAUCAAACAUAAAUACCUGAACAGACAAAACCGCAAGACUGAAAACCACUGAAGUGCAGAAGAAUGAAUGACUUCAGGUGCACUGUAUCUCAAAACUCUUUGGACUGUAUUUCCUCAUACAGAGAAUUAAAUUUGAAAGAGGUAGAGAAUAAUGGUGGAAGUGGAGAAAGCUGUGAAAAAUUGUCCUAUGUUUUCAAUUUCAUCUCUCUUUCCACUCGUAGUCUUAAAGGUGAUUUAUCCAUGUAUAGAAACAAUAUCUCAGACUCACAUUUAUUGAAGCUAGGUUGAGCUUUAGGGCUGAUUUCCCACAUUCCAAUCACCAGAAAUAUGCAAAAAUAGGAAUCUUUACCAAAUUAAGGAAAUAUUUAAUAUUAGAAGUAAAUUAUGUUCUAUUACAAUCAUAGGGCAGAAUAGAAAGUUAUUCUAUUCUUUAAUUUAAAAUUCCUAUCCAAGUACUUAAAGUACUUAGCAUCAAAAGUGGCCUUACAUAUGAAAAUUUAUGAGGGCUAUGUUAACAUCAGUAGGUUAUAACAUAUGCUAUUUAAAAAAAUCAAAACAAUAAAUUGGGUUUACAUGGAUCUGGGUUAAAGAGGAUUUAUAUUUUUUGAUGUUGCUGUAGGGCCACAUCAUGUAUAUGCUUAUACUUCUUCUUGCUUUGUUUCUGCUGCCGUCAUGCAACAAGAACUCGGAGGGGAGGGCUCCCAAUUUGCAAGAACAAAACAGAUGUGCUGGAUGACAUUGCUUGACAUUGGCUUUGAGUCAUUGUUUAUCAGUGGAGAACAUGAGGUGCAGCAAGACCCUGCUUAUCAGCAGCCUGCCCUCUACAAAGCGACUAAACUCUCCUCUCAAUAUCAAAUGGAGACUUGGGAGCAUGG